rnacentral:rRNA from 1 species
UAACCUAUAAUUGAGUAUAAAAUUUAAAUUAUUUUAUUUUUAAAAACAUUUAUAAAUAGAGUAAUGGCGACUGAAAAUUAUUAAAUAUAUCAUGAACUAAGUACUGUAGAGGAAUAUUAUGAAUUAAAAAUAAGAAAAAAUAAAAUCUUGUACCUUUUGUAUCAUGGUUUAACUAGAUAAUACAUUUUAUAUUCUAAAUUUCUCGAAAUCUAAUGAGCUAUUUUUAUUCUUUAUAUUAGAAAAUAAAUAAAUAAUUGUGGCAAAAAUUUUUAAAGAAAUAAAAAUAGAAAUGAAAUUUUAUUCGCAUUAGAUGAUAGCUAGUUCUUUCGAAAAUGUAUAGAAGUACUACAAAUGAAUUUUUUUUCUUUAUAAUAUAGUGUAAGAAAAAUUUUAUUUGAUUAAAUUUUUAAGGAUAAGCUUAAAAAUGAUACAGCUAUAUUUGUAUACUAUUUCUGUAAAAUUUAGCUAAAAUAGCUAUAAUUUUGAUUUUGUUACAAUUUCAUUAGAUUUAAAAGAAAAAUAAUUAAUCUACUAUAAUUAAACGAAAGAAGAUUUUAAAAUUAAUAUAAAAUUACAUUUAUGUUAAAAUGAGUAUAAAUUAUUAUAUUAAUUUUAAAUAUAUUUAUAUUGAAAUUAAUUUAUAUUUUUUGAACAUAAAUUAUAAAAAGGAAUUCGGCAAACACAUAUUCUGCCUGUUUAGCAAAAACAUGGCUCCUUGCUUAAUUAGGAUAGGGAGUCGGACCUGCCCAGUGAAAAUUUUUUUAACGGCCGCAGUACUUUGACUGUGCGAAGGUAGCAUAAUCAUUUGCCUUAUAAUUGAAGGCUAGUAUGAAUGGUUUGACAAGAAUAUAACUGUCUCUUUAUAAUUAAAUAGAAUUUUUUAUAUAAGUGAAGAAACUUAUAUUUAAUUAAUAGACAAGAAGACCCUAUCGAGCUUUAAAAAAAUUAAAAGAUGAAUUUAGUUUAUAGAUACUAGAAAACUAAUUUUAAAAAUUUUGGUUGGGGCGACUGAGGAACAAAUAAAGCUUCCUUUUCAUAAAAAACAGACAGGUAUUGAUCCAAAAAUGUUUUGAUUAAAGAAAUUAGUUACCGUAGGGAUAACAGCAUUAUCUUUUUUGAGAGUUCUUAUCGAAAAAAAGGUUUGUGACCUCGAUGUUGGACCAGAAUAACCUAAAGAUGCAGCAGUCUUUGAGGGUUGGUCUGUUCGACCAUUAAAAUUCUACGUGAUCUGAGUUCAGACCGGCGUGAGCCAGGUCAGUUUCUAUCUUUA